rnacentral:SRP_RNA from 1 species
GCUGGGCGUGGUGGCUCAUGCCUGUAAUCCCAGCACUUUGGGAGGCCGAGGUGGGAGGAUCCCCUGAGGUCAGGAGUUCGAGACCAGCCUGGCCAACAUGGUGAAACCCCAUCUCUU